rnacentral:rRNA from 1 species
AGGGGGAUAACACUUGGAAACAGGUGCUAAUACCGCAUAACAGUUUAUGCCGCAUGGCAUAAGAGUGAAAGGCGCUUUCGGGUGUCGCUGAUGGAUGGACCCGCGGUGCAUUAGCUAGUUGGUGAGGUAACGGCUCACCAAGGCCACGAUGCAUAGCCGACCUGAGAGGGUGAUCGGCCACACUGGGACUGAGACACGGCCCAGACUCCUACGGGAGGCAGCAGUAGGGAAUCUUCGGCAAUGGACGAAAGUCUGACCGAGCAACGCCGCGUGAGUGAAGAAGGUUUUCGGAUCGUAAAACUCUGUUGUUAGAGAAGAACAAGGACGUUAGUAACUGAACGUCCCCUGACGGUAUCUAACCAGAAAGCCACGGCUAACUACGUGCCAGCAGCCGCGGUAAUACGUAGGUGGCAAGCGUUGUCCGGAUUUAUUGGGCGUAAAGCGAGCGCAGGCGGUUUCUUAAGUCUGAUGUGAAAGCCCCCGGCUCAACCGGGGAGGGUCAUUGGAAACUGGGAGACUUGAGUGCAGAAGAGGAGAGUGGAAUUCCAUGUGUAGCGGUGAAAUGCGUAGAUAUAUGGAGGAACACCAGUGGCGAAGGCGGCUCUCUGGUCUGUAACUGACGCUGAGGCUCGAAAGCGUGGGGAGCAAACAGGAUUAGAUACCC